GUUCACCAAAAACUCCACACUCUCACCUCUCUGCCGUAUUUCAGGGUUAUCUAUCUAGGUUAUAAACGGUUUCUUGGUUCCAACCACGUCCUACCUCUCUCUUCUAAUUUAGGUGGACAACCUCAACAACGCUCCCCAUAUCAAACUUCCCACCAUCACCAUCGAUCUCCCUCACCGGCAUCCCAAAACUUGCAUCAAAAAUAUCUGAUUUUCUUGAUUCUUGCUCUGAAUAAAACCGGGUUUUGUUUUCAUUCAUCCGCAUCAUGGAUUCCUCUUCGGGAUCAGAAUUUGAUUAUUUGUUCAAGUUAUUUAUGAUUCGGGAUUCCGGAUUUGGUAAGAACAAUUGUUUUUACGAUAUUUUUGAUAUGAUCUGAAAUUGUUUUGAUUAAAAGCCAGAGUAGCAUUGAUUUGGUUUACACCUACGUUGGAAAAUUUAGGCCUGGUGCUGCUAAAUAUGCAUCAUUUUCUUUAAGCAUGUUGUUUAAUUUCGACGACAGUAACCUGCGUAUAAUCUGCCGAAUCAGGAAGCUUCGCCAUUUAGGUGAUGUUCAUACAUCGUUUACAAGGUAAAUUAGCUCCGUGAUGGUAUAGUUUCAUAUUUGUAGCUUGAUCUUUGAUUAACGGAUUAGGCUGGGUUUGUAAUUUGUAUCCAUUCCUUCGGUUCCAUUUGGUUUUGAUGCAAAAUUGAUGUGGCGAAUAGAGAUCCAUCUAAAGUUCGCUAAUUCUGAGACAUAUGCUUGAUGUCUGAGAUUGGUCAGGCUGUAAGUAAUUAGAUAUUCCGCAGCUUGCUUUCCAUAUUAUGGUCUUUAAUAUCUCAGAAAAACUUUAAUCUUUCUUGUAGUGAUUAAGAUCAUAUAAAUCUUGUAAUAUAUUUGUGUCUAGUCUCCAAGUGUGAUUACAAAAGCCCAAUCCGAAGCUCUUGCUGGUGGAUGCACUUUCAAGAUGAUUCAACAUACAUAUGUGAGACUGCAACAAAGACUUGCCAGAUGACCUUGCUCAGUUAGGUUAAUUUUAGUGGAGCUUUUGCCUUUUGGUGGACAUUUGCCAACUUUUAAAGUCUGCUAUUUUUUUGCAAACGGUGUGCACAAAGAGGUCCUGAUUCAGUGUGUUCAUGAGUUGGUUACGGCAUCAAUGAAGUAAAAAGAAACCCACACGUAAUUACAUGUUUUUGGAGCUUGAGGAGCCAUGUCAUCAUGGAUACAAGCACGGAAGGACAAGGGGUCAAAAAGUAAACACUAAAGCUAUGCGUAAAUUCGGACGCACGAGGUGAUGAGAAGAAAUACACUCAUGCUAAUUUCCAAGGCAGUUGUAGCCAUUCGGUUUUUUCAGUGGACACUGGACAAUAGGAAUGGUCAAAGUCAACCAUAAAAUUUGUGAUCUUCUCCUCGUAGAUUGAUGGAAAAGACACAGCUCCAAGGAGAAAUCCCAUCAGAUGCAUUCCAUCCUCAGUUAGAGAGUUUGUAAACGUGUCACAAUCUUGAAAAUACUGAAAUAGAGCUUUCAAAGGAAUCUGAAAUUGUUAUUAAUCCAUUUCAUAAAUGAGCUAGAAGGUGGACACGAAUGAAUGUUGGACAACUUGACAGACCCCGGGUGAGCAAGCUGAACCCAACACAGAAGGUUGGACAAUUUUAGAAGCUGUGACUAAACCAACUGCAAUGUCAUAUGACGUUUAAUAGUAACAUCUUAAAGUUUUGUUUUGUUGAGACUUGAGUUAUUUUUGUUCUCAAAGGAUUGCAAGAUUAAAUAUUAGUUAUGUUGGUUUGUGAGAUAAAGAUAUUAAGAGAACCAACGAAAUUGA
rnacentral:lncRNA from 1 species